AGAGUUUGAUCCUGGCUCAGGGUGAACGCUAGGGGUAUGCUUAACACAUGCGAGUCGUACGAAAAAGAAUUUUUCUUUUUAAGUGGCGUACGGGUGAGUAAUACAUAGGAACUUGCCUUUUAGUCCAGAUUAAAAUACUGGAUUUUAAAGAAAAAAUUUUGCUAAGAGAUAGGCCUAUGCAAGAUUAGGUAGUUGGUUGGGUAAAAGCUUACCAAGCCUAUGAUCUUUAGCUGUACUGAGAGGUUGGUCAGCCACACUGGGACUGAGACAAGGCCCAGGCUUUAUUCGAAGCCAGCAGUGAGGAAUAUUGGACAAUGAGCGAAAGCUUGAUCCAGCAAUACCCCAUGAGUGAUGACGGCUUUCAAGUUGUAAAACUCUUUGGUUGAUGAAGAUAAUGACGGUAAUCGACAGAAUAGCCCCGGCUAACUUCGUGCCAGCAGCCGCGGUAAGACGAAGGGGGCGAGCGUUAUCCGGAAUGACUGGGCGUAAAGGGUCCGUAGGUGGUGUUUUAUGUUAAAGGUGAAAAACUAAAGCUUAACUUUUUCGAGCCUUUAAAACGUUAAUACUUUGAGUUUGAUGUAGGAUAGCAGAAUUUCAUAUGGAGGGGUGAUAUCCUUAGAUAUGUGAAAGAAUACCAGAGGCGAAGGCGGCUAUCUAGUUCAAUACUGACACUGAGGGACGAAAGCAUGGGGAGCAAACAGGAUUAGAUACCCUGGUAGUCC
rnacentral:rRNA from 1 species